AUGCAAGUCGAACGGUUGAUGCAGCAAUGUAUCAUAGUGGCGACCGGGUGCGUAACACGUAGCUAACCUGCCCCUCAGCGGGGAACAACUGUUGGAAAACGACAGCUUAAUACCGCAUGAUGUUGGAGAGAAUAAAUAUUUCCAACUAAACUUACGGGGCUGAGGGAGGGGGGCUGCGGCCCAUCAGGUAGUUGGGGAGGUAAUGGCUCACCAAGGCCAAUGACGGGUAGGGGACCUGAGAGGGUGGUCCCCCACACUGGGACUGACAACGGCCCCAGACUCCUACGGGAGGCAGCAGUAAGGGAUAUUGCGCAAUGGGCGAAAGCCUGACGCAGCAACGCCGCGUGGAGGAUGAAGGCCUUCGGGUUGUAAACUUCUUUUAGCAGGGACGAGGAAGGACGGUACCUGCGGAAUCAGUCAUGGCUAACUAACGUGCCAGCAGCCGCGGUAAAACGUAGGUGGCAAGCGUUUAUUCCGGAUUUACUGGGCGUAAAGGGUGUGCAGGCGGGCGUGCAAGUGGUGUAUGAAAUCUCCCGGCUUAACCGGGAGGGGUUUAUGCCAGACUGCACGUCUAGAGGACGAGAGAGGGGGGGUGGAAUUCCGGGUGUAGUGGUGAAAUGCGUAGAGAUCCGGAGGAACCCCAGAGGCGAAGGCGGCCCCCUGGCUCGUACCUGACGCUCAGCCACGAAAGCAUGGGGAGCGAACGGGAUUAGAAAACCCCGGUUAGUCCACGCCGGUAAACGAUGAAUGCUAGCCGUUGGCGGGCUUACCUCGUUCAGUGGCGCAGCUAACGCUUUAAGCAUUUCCGCCUGGGGAGUACGGUCGCAAGAUUAAAACUCAAAAGGAAUUGACGGGGGGCCCGCCACAAGCGGUGGAGCAUGUGGUUUAAUUCGACGCAACGCCGCAGAACCUUACCAGCCCUUGACAUGUCCCGUAUGGGUUUCAGAGAUGAGAUCCUUCAGUUCGGCUGGCGGGAACACAGGUGCUGCAUGGCUGUCGUCAGCUCGUGUCGUGAGAUGUUGGGUUAAGUCCCCGCAACGGAGCGCAACCCCCCGCCUUUAGUUUGCCAUCAUUUAGUUGGGGCACUCUAAAGGGACUGCCGGUGAUAAGCCCGCGAGGAAGGUGGGGAUGACGUCAAGUCCUCAUGGCCCUUACGGGGCUGGGCUACACACGUGCUACAAAUGGCGGUGACAGAGGGAUGCAAAGGGGCGACCCUUCGCAAAUCUCAAAAAUAAGCCGUCUCAGUUCGGAUUGGGCCUCUGCAACUCGAGCCCAUGAAGUUGGAAUCGCUAGUAAUCGCAGAUCAGCACGCUGCGGUGAAUACGUUCCCGGGCCUUGUACACACCGCCCGUCACACCGUGGGAAGUUGACUUUACCUGAAAGACGGUGCGCUAACCGCAAGGAGGCAGCCGGCCACGGUAGGGUCAGCGACUGGGGUG
rnacentral:rRNA from 1 species